UGCGUAUAGCUAAAAGGAGAAAUAUGGAGAGGCUGACUCUUGCUUGUGGUGGGGUAGCCCUGGAUUAUUUUGACAACCUAAGUCCUGGCUGCUUGGGACAUGCAGGACUUGUAUAUAAGUAUACAUUGGAAGAAGAGAAGUUCACCUUUAUUGAGAAAUGUAACCACCCUCGUUCUGUCACUUUAUUGAUCAAAGGAGCAAAUAAGCAGACACUCACUCAGAUCAAAGAUGCAGUGAGGGAUGGCUUGAGGGCUUUCAAAAAUGUUAUUGAUGAUGGCUGUGUGGUUCCAGGUGCUGGUGCUGUGGAAGUGACUAUGGCAGAAGCCCUGAUUAAAUGUAAGCCCAGUGUAAAUGGCAGGGCACAGCUUGGAGUCCAAGCAUUUGCUGAUGCGUUGCUCAUUAUUCCCAAGGUUCUUGCUCAGAACUCUGGUUUUGACCUUCAGGAAACAUUAGCUAAAAUUCAAGCAGAACAUUCAGAAUCAGGUGAGCUUGUGGGUGUGGACCUGAACACAGGUGAGCCAAUAGUAGCAGCAGAAGUACGCGUUUGGGAUAACUAUUUUGUAAAGAAGCAGCUUUUUCACUCCUGCACUGUGAUCGCCACCAACAUUCUCUUGGUUGAUGAGAUCAUGAGAGCUGGAAUGUCUUCUCUGAAAGGUUGAAUUGAAGCUUCCUCUGUAUCUGAGUCUUGAAGACUCUGCAAAGUGAUCCUGAGGAAUACAGCUGUGGAAUUUUUGUACAAGCUUCAAAUGGAUUUUUCCCAUAUGAAAAAGGAGGGAACACUGGCAUCUGUUGAAAUUUGGAAGUUCUGAAAUUACAGUAUUUUUUAAAAUUGCACUGAAGCGUAUACACAUAAAGCAGGUCUUUUACCCAGUGAACAGGAUGUUUUGCUUUAGCAGCAGUGACAUAAAUUCCUUGUUAGAUAAAAUACAUCCAUCCAUCUAUCUAUCUAUCUAUCUAUCUAUCUAUCUAUCUAUCUAUCUAUCUAAUGCUAUCUCAAUGAAUGAAGAAAAGACUUUUCAUAAAAUUCAUCAUACCUCCAAUGUUAAAAAUCCUCUAAAAACUAGGCACCAUGGAACAUACCUCAAAAUAAUAAGAACCAUCAUUGAAAAAGUAACAGCCAACGUUAUCCUAAAUUGACUAAAGCUUGAAGUGUUCCCCUAGAGAACUGGAAAAACAC